rnacentral:rRNA from 1 species
AGCUCCAAUAGCGUAUAUUAAAGUUGUUGCAGUUAAAAAGCUCGUAGUUGGAUUUGUGGAGUGUCCAGUUGGCCUUUACUCUUUGAGUGAUUGUGCUGUACUGGUCUACCAUGUUUGGGUGGAAUCUGUGUGGCAUUAAGUUGUCAUGCAGGGGAUGCCCAUCGUUUACUGUGAAAGAUUAGAGUGUUCAAAGCAGGCUUAUGCCAUUAAAUAUAUUAGCAUGGAAUAAUAAUAUAGGACCUUGGUACUAUUUUGUUGGUUUAUGCACUAAGGUAAUGAUUAAGAGGGACAGUUGGGGGUAUUUGUAUUCCAUUGUCAGAUGUAAAAUUCUUGAAUUUUUGGAAGACAAACUACUGUGAAAGCAUUUAACAAGGAUGUUCUCA